rnacentral:rRNA from 1 species
CGGGUGAGUAACACGUAUCCAACCUGCCGUCUACUCUUGGACAGCCUUCUGAAAGGAAGAUUAAUACAAGAUGGCAUCAUGAGUUCACAUGUUCACAUGAUUAAAGGUAUUCCGGUAGACGAUGGGGAUGCGUUCCAUUAGAUAGUAGGCGGGGUAACGGCCCAUCUAGUCUUCGAUGGAUAGGGGUUCUGAGAGGAAGGUCCCCCACAUUGGAACUGAGACACGGUCCAA